GUGUUCAGAUAGCCAUGCAUGUCUAGUAUAAAUGUUAUACAGUGAAACUGCGAAAGGCUCAUUAAAACAGUUAUAGUUUAUUUGAUAAUCAAAUUUACAUGGAUAACCGUGGUAAUUCUAGAGCUAAUACAUGCUGUUAAGCCUGACUCCGAGGAAGGGCUGUAUUUAUUAGAUAACAAACCAAUAUUCCCCGUGUCUAUUGUGAUGACUCAUAAUAACUGAUCGAAUCGCAUGGUCCUUGACCGCGAUACAUCAUUCAAGUUUCUGCCCCAUCAGCUUUCGAUGGUAGUGUAUUGGACUACCAUGGCUUUAACGGGUAACGGAGGAUUAGGGUUCGAUUCCGGAGAGGGAGCCUGAGAAACGGCUACCACAUCUAAGGAAGGCAGCAGGCGCGUAAAUUACCCAAUCCUGACUCAGGGAGGUAGUGACAAGAAAUAACGGACCGAGGCUUACGCUUCGGGAUUGCAAUGAGUAGAAUUUAAACCCCUUUAUGAGGAUCA
rnacentral:rRNA from 1 species